CCCCGCCUCCUCUUAAAGGGGCAGCACGGCCCCGCCGCCUCUCCGCUCAGUGUCUGAAUGGGACUGUAGCGCGAGCGCGGGCGACUGCCUUCCUUCCGCCCUUCCCUCAGGGAGAGGGAAGCUGGGUCCCGCUCCCUCGGCCUGGUGUUACCGACUUUCCGCCCCGCCCCCGCCCCCAUCAGGUGCGGCCUAGCGCUGCCCCUGGAGAGCCUCAGAAAGCGGCAGCGGGCGGCCGCUUCCCGCCGCGACCCUGAGGGCGGCCUGCGGGGACGACGCGGCGGGCGCGGCUCUCGGGCAUGCUUGGCGGCGGCGGCGGCGGCGGUGUGCCCGCCGGGCCGGCGCCGCGCUCGGGCCCCGACCUCCUCCCACCGCGGCCUUCAGGCUCCUGGCGCACCGGGGGCCGAUCGCGGAGGUAGGCGGUGGCGCCCCCGCGGCCUCCUGCGUCUCUUUCUGCCUUAGGCCGCCCGCCUUUGGGAUCUUCCCUCUCGGCUUCGUCCCGCGCCCGGCCUUGCGGGGGGUCUCCCGCCGCCCCAGGACCUGCAGGUGAUAAUAUGGGGAUCACGGGCUUCCCUUGUGGCUCAGCUGACUGCCCUCAUUUUUUCCAUUCUGCUGGAGAAAACACAAGAUUGUGUUCUUCAUUACCUACCUGCAGCUGAGAAGGAGUCCGUCCCUGCUGUCCCUUACUGAGCUGUGGUCUUUACAUGAUUGAAAUUUAAGCUGAAGUACCUAAUGAAGAGGACUCUGAAUAUAGCAGCUGAAAAAGGAAAAAGAUUGGGAGAAGAGUCCAGAUGUCAUAAAGCAAAGAGAGGAUGAGGUCAUGUCGGAUUUUAGAGCAUGUACUGUGUUUGUGAUGGCCAUCUCUUAACUAUCAGAAUGGAACAAAACAUUGGAGGUUAUUUUAAUGAGAACAGUCUUCUCCAGGAAGUCUGUGAUGACCAAAAAGCUAGGAAAUGGUAACCCACUCCAGUAUUCUUGCCUGGAGAAUCCCAUGGACGGAGGAUACUGGCGGGCUACAGUCCAUGGGGUCGCAAAGAGUUGGACGUGACUGAGCAACUAACACUUACUUCCUUACCUUCCCCACAAUGUCUUGCUUGGUGAUAAGGCACAACUCUUCAUCGUAACCCAAUGAUGUUGGCAAAGUGAGAUUGUUAACGCUGUUCAGCAGC
ensembl:lncRNA